ACACAUACCUGGCAGAGGAGUGGUGGUUUUCCCAUGGUGAGUCUCACCCAUUGCACUCCAGAUGUGCUGAGCCCUGCUAUUUCCCCAGGUAUGUGAAACUCCACUGCAUCAUUUGUGGUAGUAGGGGACUCCAUUUGCACUCUCCCCUA
rnacentral:snRNA from 1 species